UAUUCGGCGAGUAGGUUGGUUUCCUGUCACAAGGGCGUGGGCUCUGUGCUAAGCGCGGAAUUCGCGGCGACCAAAGGGAAUAACUGCUGUACCCUCAAGGAGCUUACAUGAAGUUAUGCACAACAAACAAUUGCUAACGCCCUAUAAAGUCAAAAUAUGACCGGUGUUUAAAGAUGAGUAAAAACUUCCUUAGGGACCAAACCAGCAAGUAGACUCAGCUUUGGGAGCCAUUACCCUGGUCCACCUUGAUGUGUCAGCACAACAGAGAGCAGCUUACUUCAUACCCAGCCCUGUAAUGCUUGAGUCACUCAGAUGGUGGUAUAGAGGCAAACUAGAUUGUUUCUAACCGGUGUGGGAACUGAGGAAUGCAGAAUGGGAAGAAUACUGAGGCUACUUGGGGAUGCCUCUCCCAGUGCUCCUUCAGGAUGCUGCUUCCAUCUAUGUUAAGCCCUGGGUUAACUCUGCAGAGAGGCCCCCAGUCACACAGGUUCCUUCUGACCCAGAGUGACCCCCCUGUGGACGACUGCCGAGUGAGAGCAUGUAUGAUUACCAGAGGUUGCCCAAGCUCCAAAGGAAGCACUCCAUGAUCAACAACCCUGACACUACGUGGAAAUGGACACGACUGAUGAAUGUGAAAAGGAAUCAUUGAAAUGGAAAAUCCUGGAGCUGAAAGUGGCCGUAUCCAACUCUACUCUGUGCUUUUUGUAUUUUUUCUUUUAUUUAUUCAUCAUCUCGACAGACAUUUUUUGCGAAUAUACUACAUGCAAAGCACUACAUUAGGUGCUAGGAAAAGAACUGUGAACAAGGGAAGAGGCCAUGUGAGGACACAGUGAGAAGGCAGCCAUAUACAAGCCUGGAAGAGAGGCUUCACCAGAAAUCAACCUAGAUGGCACCUUGAUCUUGGACUUGAAGCUUCCUGAACUCUGAAAGCAUCCUGACUGAUAAGAGUGGUUAAACUGGUUUCUUCAGUCAGUGAGGAGGGAAUUGGCUCCUGGCUUCACCACAGGAAUUAUAUGUCCUCUUCAAAGCUGCUUCCUCCUCUGUGAGAUGCAGAAGCAUCAGCCCCAGCUGGAGACGUGCUGUAGCUGUGCACCACAGAUGCUAACUGAAUUGAGGAGGCUGCAUGGAACAGCAAGGAACAGCCUUGCGCUAAGGAACCAGGUUAUGCAGUCAACAGUUUUGACAGCUACAAAGGGACCCAGGGCAGACUUUUCUCCUUUGCCUGAACUCUCCAAGGAGCCAGAGCCUAGGUACCAGCAGAGGAUUCUUGGGCCCAUCUGCCACCUCAGAGAGUCCAGAUGAAUUUGGACUGGUUGCUGCACUCUCCUCCGAGGCUCUGAAGCUCCCCCUCUGUCCAGGCUGAUCUCCCCACAGCUAACUCUGGGAUGCUUCAAAGAAACCCUGCGACAUCUCAGAAAGAAAUGUUAGACUAAUUAGGCUUACUUGAGAAGCACUGUCAAGUGAUUGGAGAUAAACCUUCUUAGGUUAUAGUGUAUGGGUAAAUGUCAUUAAUAUAGAUAUUCCAAAAUUUAUAUGGAAUUACUAAAAAUCUGGUAUGGCCUGGUUUAAGGUUAUCAGUCAUAAUUCUAGGUGUUAUCUUAGGAUGUUGUAUGUCACAGAAAUAUCCAAGUUUCUUGUCAGUUACAUUAUAAUCAAUCAGAUCUUUAACCAUGCCAUUUUAAGUCCUGUUGUUUAUACACAAUCAUUGUUUUACUCUGAUGCUUUUAUAUAUGAAGAUCUUAGUGAAGAUUCAUAAAAAGGACUUUUGAUAAAUACAAGUUUCUGGUAACUUUUAGAUCUUACUCCUGAACUGGGUAAGAAAUUAAAAAACACUAAUGGAAAACCUGACAACUUCAUCUAGAUGAACAGGAAUUAAUUACAUGGACUGAAUGAAUUGAUGAAUAUGACUUAUAAUUUUAUGACUUUUUUCUGAAAUAUACUGGUUUUUAAUCUCUGUUUUCCAGAAAACCUUUCCUCUUACGCUAACUAUGACCUUCCACAAGUUGAUAAAGUAUACCUUUGUAAACGAAGACAAAACAUUUAUCUUUUUCUCUCUACCUGAUCCCUCCAGAAUUUGGCUUCUCUAGCUGGCUCCCCUGUGGACUUGAUGGCUUAUUUUGACCAGAUUACAACUAGUUAUACUAAUCACUGUUUUAGUUUGUUCUCUCUUGGCAUUUUCAAAUUAUUUAUGCCUUGUGCCUCUCUCUGCUGCACUAUCAGUUUAUUAAUGUUACUAGCUGUAUUACUUAUAUCCUGUCUGUUUUAUGAGAUUAUUAUCUCUUACAUUACCAAAGUGUAACCAAGCCUCCAGCAAAAUUAAUGAUGUCUCGAGUUAGUUGAUCAUAUACAUAACUCUACAUAGAAUAAUUGUAAUAGUGCAAUUCUAGAUCUGGGAAGAAGCAACAAGGGAAAACAUUUCCUGGAUCACAACAGACUAAUAAGACAGGUGAUCCAGAGAAUUUUAGAUUAUCAACAGGGUCUAAUCCAAAACAAAUCAGCACAUUGAGUGGCCUGUCAGCAGAAUCUUCGCCUGAUCAAGGGAUGAGCCUUCCUAGCCCUGAGGGACAAAAUUGGUCAUGAAAUGCCUCCCAAACAUUGGUUGAAUUUAUGGCCAAGAGGAAGCACUGUGAGCAAAGAAUGUCACCUGCCGUAUCAGUAAACAAGCCACCAAGCCAUCAACCUCUGCAGCCACCACCAAUGGUGCAGCCUGAGGGGAUUCAGGAUGGAGAAAAACAGGAUACUGGCCCUAGAUAGUUAAGGUGCAUAUUAAAGGAAUGAUUUCAAUGAGCCAAGGGCCUUGCAUCUUCCCAUACAUAGAAAAGCACUAAAUUCAUUAACUGUAGAUGUCUGUUUUUUCAUUAAUUAGCAGCAAUCUUGUGAUGUUCGACUUCCUGAUUUUAUUUUUGCAAAAACUCCUACAUAUUCCUGGCUCCUCCCUUACC